rnacentral:lncRNA from 1 species
CUCUGUAUGAAGAUAAGCAAGGGACACUUUAGAGCUGGCAUAGGUGUGGAUUCAUUGAGAUGGCUAUGACCUAUGUACCAAGAUUAGAGAAAGAAUGUGGUGGAGCUGAACUGUUGAAGACAGUCCUGGAAGACUCUCAUCUCUCUCCUUGUACAAAAUUCUUCUUGUGUCAUUGGGCCCUGGAUAUAUUUUCAAAGGAAGGAAAAUGAUAACCUUAAUGGGCUCUGAUAUGCUUUGCAUUCACCUGAUUGGCCUGGAUAAUAGUUUCUGAUAUAUCGAGGAGCAGAACUGAAGAAGACAUACAAUACCACACAGACAGAAAAAAACAUGUAUCUGAGUGCAAGAGACACAUUAAAAUGUAAAUAAUGUAUAAGGC